rnacentral:lncRNA from 1 species
AGAGAUCAAAGCUCCAACCUUUUGUUGUGUAUAAAAGUUUUUGACUAAUUUUGACGGUUUAACUUGUCAUAUCAUCGAAUUCCGGUUAGCAAAUUCGCUACCUGUGUGGUUUUAAGUUGAUCGGAUCUCGAGAGUGAGAUGAUGUGGAGGAACAUUGCUGCCUUCUCCAAGGCUGCUGCUGCGGCAAGAACCCACGGAUCUCGGCGGUGCUUGUCGACGGCGAUUCCUGGUCCUUGCAUCGUCCACAAGCGUGGUGCUGAUAUCCUCCACGAUCCAUGGUUUAACAAGGUUCUCUCUUCAUCUGAUAUAUUCCCUCAGUUUGAUUUAACUUAUAAUGCCUGAUUGAUUGUUGAAACUCUAUGGGAAGUUAGUUUGUUCGUUUCUCAUUUUUUGGUGGUGGGUUCAUGGUUUGCACAGGACACAGGUUUUCCAUUGACUGAGAGAGAUAGAUUGGGGCUAAGAGGCUUGCUUCCUCCUCGUGUUAUCUCCUUUGAACAGCAAUAUGCCCGUUUCAGUAAGUCUCAUGAGACCUUUUGGAUCCAUUGGUAUGCAUUUCUAAGACUUUUUCCUAUGAAUUACAAAUUGGCAGUUGAGUCCUUUCGGUCGCUAGAGAGGAACACGCAAGGGCAGCCAGACAACGUUGUCUCAUUAGCUAAGUGGAGGAUUCUCAAUAGGUUGCAUGAUCGUAACGAGACUUUGUACUACCGAGUGAGUUCAAAGUUUCCUCUUUUUUUCUUUUUUUUUAUUAUCCUGACAUCUUGACACACCCCGGAGACAUAACCAUCGCUUGUUCUCUGCAGGUCCUUAUUGAUAACAUCAAAGACUUUGCCCCAAUCAUAUACACACCGACGGUUGGACUGGUUUGUCAGAACUAUUCUGGUUUGUAUAGAAGACCCCGAGGAAUGUACUUCAGUGCCAAAGACAAAGGAGAGAUGAUGUCUAUGAUCUACAACUGGCCUGCUCAUCAGGUUGAUAUGAUCGUCAUCACUGAUGGUAGCCGCAUCCUUGGCUUAGGAGACCUUGGAGUCCAGGGUAUUGGGAUUCCUAUCGGAAAGCUCGACAUGUAUGUGGCUGCUGCAGGAAUCAAUCCACAGAGAGUAUGUCCCAUCUCCAUUAUCUGCUUGUGGACAAAGGGUUUCAUCUUCUUAUUCGAAAAUUUUACGCUUGUUUAUAUGAAGGUUUUGCCAAUUAUGUUGGAUGUCGGCACCAAUAAUCAAAAGCUCCUACAGAAUCCUCUCUGUAAGCUACUUUUAUUAGUCUCUAUAUGAUUGCACUUCUGUGGAUGUGUUUCCUUUGAUACGUCAUUCAUGUAUCUACAGAUUUAGGACUCAGACAACCUAGGUUGGAAGGAGAGGAGUACCUUGAGAUUGUUGAUGAGUUUAUGGAAGCUGCAUUCACACGUUGGCCUAAGGCCGUCGUUCAGGUAUUUAUAUACCGUAGUUUCUACUUUGGAUUUACCUUUUGGUGGUGCUAUUACUAAAUGGUUCUUUCAUUAUAUCACCAUCGCUUGUUCUCUGCAGGUCCUUAUUGAUAACAUCAAAGACUUUGCCCCAAUCAUAUACACACCGACGGUUGGACUGGUUUGUCAGAACUAUUCUGGUUUGUAUAGAAGACCCCGAGGAAUGUACUUCAGUGCCAAAGACAAAGGAGAGAUGAUGUCUAUGAUCUACAACUGGCCUGCUCAUCAGGUUGAUAUGAUCGUCAUCACUGAUGGUAGCCGCAUCCUUGGCUUAGGAGACCUUGGAGUCCAGGGUAUUGGGAUUCCUAUCGGAAAGCUCGACAUGUAUGUGGCUGCUGCAGGAAUCAAUCCACAGAGAGUAUGUCCCAUCUCCAUUAUCUGCUUGUGGACAAAGGGUUUCAUCUUCUUAUUCGAAAAUUUUACGCUUGUUUAUAUGAAGGUUUUGCCAAUUAUGUUGGAUGUCGGCACCAAUAAUCAAAAGCUCCUACAGAAUCCUCUCUGUAAGCUACUUUUAUUAGUCUCUAUAUGAUUGCACUUCUGUGGAUGUGUUUCCUUUGAUACGUCAUUCAUGUAUCUACAGAUUUAGGACUGAGACAACCUAGGUUGGAAGGAGAGGAGUACCUUGAGAUUGUUGAUGAGUUUAUGGAAGCUGCAUUCACACGUUGGCCUAAGGCCGUCGUUCAGGUAUUUAUAUACCGUAGUUUCUACUUUGGAUUUACCUUUUGGUGGUGCUAUUACUAAAUGGUUCUUUCAUUAUAUCUUCAAUCAUAAUAGUUCGAAGAUUUCCAAGCGAAAUGGGCUUUUGAAACUUUGGAUAGAUAUCGGAAGAAGUUUUGCAUGUUCAAUGAUGAUGUCCAGGUAUCUUCUCAUCAUUUCACUUCAGCUGCUUCUACUUUAAAGCUACUCUUUAAUAACAAGGUUGGCGUAUGAUGUCACAGGGAACUGCUGGUGUUGCUCUCGCUGGACUAUUGGGAACUGUAAGAGCCCAAGGUCGUCCUUUGUCCGACUUUGUGAACCAAAAGAUUGUUGUGGUUGGAGCUGGAAGGUACUUUGGUUAUCCACUUGAAAAUUCUCUUACUAAUGUAUCUGCAGUAACUUUCAUCUCAUCUUGGUAUUGUGUAUGUCUCUUCUUUUCCUUAUAGUGCCGGGCUUGGUGUAACUAAGACGGCAGUUCAGGCAGUUGCGAGAAUGGCAGGCAUCAGCUUCGCCGAAGCAACGAAAAACUUUUACUUGAUAGAUAAAGAUGUAAGUCUAUUAUUUUUGGUUGAUAAUAAAUAAUUUAGCUUGUGUAGUUCCACGAGUCCGAGUUGACUUUGAAACUGUCAUAUUAUUGUCUCUUUUAGAGAUUGCUUUUGGAUGUUGUCUUAAGCUAUCUACUAAGAGCUUACCUAGAAGAAGUCAAAAACAUUUUUCAUAAGUUAUCCCUUUGACAUACUAGUUUUGUCUUGGUCAGCAUAUUGUUUUUUUUUUGUUUAAAUUGGAUUGCCUCAUAAGAUCCUGAAUAAUGUAAUGAAAACAACUCUGAAUGUGCUUCAGGGUCUUGUCACCACGGAGAGGUCAAAACUUGACCCAGCAGUUGUACCUUUUGCCAAAAAUCCAGCUGAGAUACGUGAGGGAGCAAGUAUCGUUGAAGUGGUAAAGCUUAAAGCCUUAUUGUGUUCUUGACUUGGCCGAUUAUUUGACUCCAUCUUCUUUUCUCUACAGCUGUUCAUGAAAGUUGAGACAUAAUAAUAUUGUUUCCUUGUUUACAAAUUUUUGUUCAGGUGAAGACAGUGAGGCCACAUGUACUUCUUGGUUUAUCUGGAGUUGGUGGCAUCUUCACUGAAGAAGUAGGUGAACCUAAUUUCAACAAACAUGUAGUUGAAUGAUAUAUUAAUUAGCAGUUUUACUGACUUAUAUGGUUUAACGGUUUCAAAUUGUGCAAAGGUUCUCAAGGCAAUGCGAGAAUCUGAUUCAUGCAAGCCCGCCAUUUUUGCUAUGUCGAAUCCCACCUUGAAUGGUUUGUGUGUUUUGUCUUUCCAAAAUAAUGUAACAUUGUUUACUUGAAAGAAGAUCUGAUCUGAACACUCUUUUUUUCUGUUUGGCAGCGGAGUGCACUGCUGCUGAUGCAUUUAAGCACGCCGGAGAAAACAUAGUCUUUGGAAGCGGAAGCCCAUUUGAACACGUUCAACUUGGUAUGUUAUAGUGAGGUGUUCAUUUUUGGAUUUUUGUAACUCUAAUUGCUUAAAAUCUAAUUCAUUUUAUUCUCCAAACUUGCAGAGAAUGGUAAUGUUGGGCAUGUGAAUCAGGCCAACAACAUGUACCUAUUCCCCGGGUUCGUUUUCGCUUCUUGAAAACUGCUUCACAGUGAAUCACAUUUUAAUCCAUAAGUAUAGCUCAAAUCAUUAUGGCUUACAGGAUUGGGUUAGGGACUCUUUUAUCUGGUGCGCGUAUUGUAACUGAUGGAAUGCUGCUAGCAGCUGCUGAAUGGUAAGCAGAUUGCAUUUGGUUCUCUUCUAUCUAAUAUGAUAUAAGUAAUGCUGACGAUUAAUAUUAUGUAUUUUUCAUCUACUAUAUGACGCAGCCUUGCGUCUUACAUGACUGACGAAGAAGUCCAAAAAGGCAUCCUUUACCCUUCGAUCAACAAGUAUUAUUUCCUCUCAUUCUUAUCCGUUGAUUUAUAUCUUAAACGGUUGUAUUAAGUGAAUUGGUUUUGAACUAAAAUGCAGCAUCCGACACAUAACAGCUGAGGUGGGGGCGGCUGUUCUAAGAGCUGCUGUUACUGACGACAUUGUAGAAGGACAUGGGGAUGUUGGUCCCAGAGAUCUCAGUCACAUGUCUAAGGUAUCAAAAUUAAUUGAGCUUUGUACUAAACAUGACAAUAAUGCACUAGUAGAAGUUGGAAUCUUAAUUGCAUCUUUUUUUUUUGUUUUGAAACAACAGGAGGAGACAGUGGAUUACAUCACACGCAACAUGUGGUUUCCAAUUUACAGCCCUCUCGUGCACGAGAAAUAGACUCUUUGAAAUCUCUCAGAUCUCAUAAUAAAAGCCAAAAAUACAAAAAGAACUUCCUCCUCUUAUUUGCGGUCAACAACAUUGUUUCUUCUUUUCUCAAUAUGUGCUAUGAAAGCCAUGAUGCUAAUGUUUAAAGACAAAGAACAAGAACAGUGUUAGCUCUAGGUCACAUGUACCUUGUCCUUUUUCCUAUUUUUUUUUUCCAAUGUCUAAGAUAUUAUGUCUGAAAAGAUGAUAUCUCUGUAAAACAUUUUUUUGGGCAAUAACAUUUCUUUGAAUCUGCUCUGCUCUUCAAAAUUAUAGGACUGAAACGGUUCUGGUACAAUAUUUUUGUCUGGUUCGAACCAGUUUCGUAUGGCAUAAUGAAAGAAAUGGAACGAGUAAAUUGGCCCGUGAACAAUUGGGCCUAGGCCAUAACAUGAAACAUAAAGACGUAAAGAAAACGGCACGUAGUCUGGAACACGCAAGCCUGUUUUGUUGGUUGAUUCUUCUUUCUUUCUCUCGACGUUGGGGGAAAAAGGAAUGUUGAGAGAAAGAAAGAAGAAAGAGAUUGGACAAAUCAGCGACCAGCCUGGAAUUGAUUAAAGUUUAAAGAAUGACCUGAAAAAAAACCCAACGAAGAGGCUCCGCAGAAUAUUCUCCCUUUGUCACGCAAACCCCUAAUAAUUAAAUACAUUUAUUUAUUUUCUCCUCUUACGUUCGCCCUUUGCUCGAAGCCUAAUCAGCUUUUCUCAAAUCGUGCUUGCUUUGAUCAAACCAAAGAGUCCCUUCUCGAUUCAAUUUCUCCAGGUAUGGACUUGCUACGAUUCAUUUUGGAGUUUCUUCUGAUAAACUUUGUUCAUGUUUCUCGUAUGUGAAUGUUUGGUUAUCGUAUUGGGAAGACUCUCUGUAUGUAGAUUGAACGGUGCAUCAUUUAUUUAUUUGAAAUUCACAGGCAAUAAUUAUUUGUAGUCGGAAUUAAAAUUAAAAGAAUCUUCGUUAGACUCGGUGUAUCUUUGUUGAUUUUGGAAUUAGGAUAUGUCUAAGUAAUAGUUUAUAUUAGUUUUUGCUUACAGGAGGACAUUGGUAGAGGGUUUAGCUGAGGAUAUAUGAUGAUGAAACAGCAACAGCAACAGCAGCAGCAGAAACAGCACAUUGCGAUCUUUACGACAGCUAGUCUUCCGUGGCUUACGGGAACUGCUGUGAAUCCUCUCUUCCGUGCUGCCUACCUUGCUAAAGACGGUCAAAGACGUGUCACUUUGGUCAUUCCCUGGCUUACUCUCAACCACCAAGUGCUUGUCUACCCUAAUAACAUCACUUUCGCUUCCCCUUCCCACCAAGAAGCUUAUGUCCGUCGCUGGCUUGAGGACAGGGUCUCGUUUCCUUUAAGUUUUGAGAUACGUUUCUAUCCUGGAAAGGUAUUCUCUUUUGCCCUUUCUCAACUAGAAUUAAUCUUUGUACCUCUUUUCAAAUACUCCUUCUGUUCACCUAUUAUCUAAAAGUUGAAUUCUUUCCAGCUUUCUUUAACCAUCACUUCAUAGUUAAUCCUCAGUUCUCAGUCUAUUUUCUCAUCUCACCUUUUUUGUGUGUACAUUAUAUGAAUCUCAUAUGUGAUAUUUCCAACAUAUGUUUGUAUGUGCAUCUACGCGCAUAUGUCUAUUUUUUGCUCAUACAUAUAUAAUCACCCUUUUUGACUCUUAUCUCAAAGCCUUUCGUCUCUUUUACCCUAACCAUUACAUCAUUGAUAAUCCUCAGUUCUCACGCAGCAUAUACGGUGUUAUCUUUCUUCAUCUCACAUUUAUGUGUUCAUUUUGUGAAUAUGGUAUCUGAUCUUUCCAAUAUAUGUAUGUGAAACUGUCUGCUUAUACGCAUAAAUGCUCAUAUAUAAGGACCAUUUUUGGGUCGGACUCCAGACCUUUCAUGGACAUAGAUAGUUUCUUUUACCGUCUGUGCUUUCUCUAUAUGUCAUGUCUUUGUGUUAUUUACAUGAGUCUGCAUACACCUGAUGUAUACUUGCAUGUUGAUGGACAUUAUGUAGAUGUAAAUCUUUUAUGUGUUUCCAUAUUCUCCCAUCUGAUCUAGUACUGAGUUUUCUUCCGAUUUUUAUUGCACAGUAACUUUUAUGUAGUAGUAAUUAACUGUGCUAUACGUUCCUUAACUAUUCAAAUUAUCUUAUUGCAGUUUGCUACAGACAAAAGAAGUAUUCUUCCUGUUGGGGACAUAUCGGAUACCAUUCCUGACGAAGAGGCAGACAUUGCCGUCCUUGAGGAGCCUGAGCAUCUCACAUGGUUUCAUCAUGGCAGAAAAUGGAAAACCAAAUUCAACUACGUCAUAGGGAUCGUGCACACAAACUACUUGGAAUACGUAAAGAGAGAGAAACAAGGCCGCCUCAAAGCAUUUCUCCUCAAGUACUUAAACAGCUGGGUUGUUGGCAUUUACUGCCACAAGGUAAACUUUCUUUACAGCUACCAAUAGAAAUGAUGGAGUGAUUGCUCUAUCUGUGUAUCAUUAUCCAAUGGUUGGAUUUGAUUCAGGGAUCAAGAUAGUUUGCUGGCCUUAUGUUAACAGAAAAUUUUGAUGAUGUGAAUCAGGACUUGUGCUAAUUAUGUUACUACUCAUACAGGUGAUUAGAUUAUCGGAUGCGACUCAAGAAUACCCUAAAUCUAUAGUCUGCAACGUUCACGGUGUCAACCCCAAAUUUCUAGAGAUUGGUUUGAAAAAACUAGAACAGCAGAAGCUCCAGGAGCAGCCCUUCACAAAAGGGGCAUACUACAUUGGCAAAAUGGUCUGGAGCAAAGGGUACAAGGAGCUUCUUAAACUACUUAAGAAACACCAAAAGGAACUUUCUGGUUUAGAGGUUGAUUUAUACGGCAGUGGAGAGGACUCUGAAGAGAUCAAAGAAGCAGCUCGAAAACUUGACCUGACGGUUAAUGUUUACCCAGGACGUGAUCACGCCGACCCUUUAUUUCACAAGUACGUCUCUAGUUUAAUAACCUCGGCUAUGCAGCAUACUUGUAACAUAGAUUCUUAUCUUAAUCUGAGCAUUGACCUCUAUCUAUUGUAAUUACUAUGUCUUCUGUUUCAGCUAUAAAGUGUUUCUAAACCCCAGCACGACAGACGUGGUCUGCACAACAACUGCAGAAGCCUUGGCGAUGGGGAAAAUAGUAGUAUGCGCAGAUCACACAUCAAACGAGUUCUUCAAACAGUUUCCCAACUGCAGAGUCUACGACGAUGGGAAGGGUUUUGUUAGAGCCACACUCAAGGCACUUGGGGAACAACCAUCACAACUAACAGAGCAGCAGAGGCAUGAACUAUCAUGGGAAGCUGCUACGCAACGGUUUAUAAGAGCCUCAGAUCUUAACAGGUUAGCAAGAGCUGAUUCGAACUUGUCAAAGAAAAGUCUGUUUGCGUCAUCUUCUAUAAGUGUGGGGAAAAACUUGGAGGACAUGUCUGCGUAUAUACACUUCUUGGCGUCUGGGUUUGAAACUUCAAGAACAGCGUUUGGUGCAAUCCCUGGAAGCUUGCAGCCAGAUGAAGAGUUGUGCAAAGAUCUUGGCUUGACUCUAAAGACCCCUUCCCGGAAUAGUCUCAAGGAAGAUUGACCCUUGUUAUAUAAAAAAAUGUGUUGUAUUUUGCUAGAAAAUUCCUAUGUGAUUUUUUAUAUACUCAACGAAUCAUUCUAUAGCUUGGUGGAAUGUUUUGAUGGUUUAUAGUAACAUGACAAUUAGGUUAAACAUAUCAUGUUGGUUUGCUCUGGCUUUGUUUUUUUUUGUUUUUAAUCAAGGUUUAUGCAUAACUGGUGUGUGAUUUUGUAUUGGUAAAUAAUUUUGUUAUAUCAAUUAAUAAAUAUAGGUAAAUAAUUCAAUAUAAAUUUCAUUUUACAAAUUAUCCAAUUAAUUAAUACUGGCAUAUAAAUAAAUUUUUGUUCUCUAAUAUCAUUUAUUUCAUUUUUGAAUAGUAAAAAUUUCAUUAAGAUCUAAGAAAUCACAAAUCUAAUAUUUCAAUUUAUUUUAUAUAAUAUUUAAAAGUAUCUAAAAAAUUUCAUCAAAAAUUUUAGAAAUAUUAUCAUUUUUUUCUAGAUCUUUUACUGGGUCAAACAGUGUCGGUUCACGAGUUAAUGACGGUUUUUAGAUUUCUAUCGAGAUUUAUCAAAUUUUUAAUUAAUGAGCUUUUCAUUAGAUUCGAAUCCGAUUAUAUACAUGUAAUCGGGUUUACCGAUUCAACGGCAUGUCUAAAUCGGAUAUAAAAUACUAAAUAAAACUCAGGCCAGAAAUAUAAUUAUUAUAUAACAAAAUAUGUAGAUCAAAAUUCAAAAAAGAUACUUAACAAUACAAGUUAAUAUUUUUUUAUCCAAAAAUCAAACCCGUACUUUCAAAACGUGGGUCAAAAUCUAGUAUACCUAUUAAAAUCAAUGAUUUAGAACCAAAUACCCAAAAAUAUAUGUAUUAUCAAAACUGAAAUAUCUGAAAAUAUUCGAAAAGCACGAAAAAAAUAUUAGCAAAUUUUUUUCGUAGUUCCCAAGUCUUCCUUUAACUACCCAAACUAGAACUGAACCCAAAUAGGCCUGUUACUAUAUGGUUCUUAAAUUUCUAUAUUCGAACUAUCUGAUAUCCAAAAUACCUGAACCGACCUGAAUAUCCAAACGCAUUAUAAACAUUAAGAAAAUGCUGUUUUUAUGUGUUUAGAAUAGACAGAGGCAUCCAGAUUCUCGGGUUUGGUCUGGUUAGAUUCUUUCAAUUUUAAAUCCUAGACAUUUGGACCCAAUUAGAUAUUUAGAAAAAUUUGAGUAUUCUAAAUUUCCCGGAUAUCCGGAUUCGUCUUAGGUCUAAUACUCAACCAUCAUAAUGUGAAUAUAUAACUCAAACCCGAGAGUCAGGGUAAAAGAGUCACCAAACAAUGUAGAUGGGAAAACCCACAAGUAUCAUUAUGAUAACUUUCACAAUAAAAACAGUUAAUAUAUAUCCGAAAAUCAUAAUAGCAUAAAAAUUAGGAGGAAGGGUCGAAGCAACUAGGUAGGUAAUUUCUCAACAGUUUCCUAAUUUCCUAAACCUGGCUAACUUACAUAGUUAAAAAGGUAAAAAAAAACUUUUUCUCUCUGUAUAUAUAUAUACACACACACACACAACGUACUCCUUCCUUGUUAUUUUUAUUUGUGCACCAAAAAUUAACAAAUAUGUCUAGUGAAAGCCUUCUCGCUUGUGCUGCUGAGAAACCAAAGCCUUGUCGAGAAAGCCUAGUCUCAAAGGNNNNNNNNNNNCAGACUCGUAAACUCGAAAUCACGGCCAUAUCGGCGGAGGGACUCCUCGAGGGUAGAAAGCCGGUGAAGAAGAACGCGUUCGUAGCCUUCGAGAUCGCUGGGAAUCACUGCAGCGGGGCGAUAAGAACGAGGAUCGACGAGGUCGGCGGGGAUUAUCCGGUGUGGGAAGAUAAGCUAGAGACGGAGUUUGCGUUACCGGAGGAGAAGAAUAAAGAGAGUUUCAUGUACGUUGGGGUUUAUUGUCAGGUCUCAGGGAAGGAUAAGCACGUGGGAACGGCACGUGUGCCGAUAAAGGAUUUUACGGGAGGAUAUGCGCCGGAGGGUUUCUUGCAUUGUUUGAGUUACAGGUUGUGGGACGAGUACGGGAAAAGGAACGGUAUUGUCAAUUUCUCGGCGAGGAUCGUGAAGGCCGGUCUGCGUUCGUUUUGGUUAGACCAUCCGUAACGGAGGUCCCUAAGGAAUCCUUAACAUUAAUCCUUAAGGUUAAUGAAAUAUAAUAAUAAUAUUUUGGCUUAACUAACUAUGGAUCAAUCCUUCAAGAAGGAUUGGAAGGACUUGAUCCUUAAUACACGUGUCUUCUUAUCCUCCUCUUUCUCCUUCGCUCUCUCUAUAUCUCCUCCCUGGCUCUCUCUCAAUCUCUCCUCGCUAGCCCCAUCAUCGCCCACCAUGGCUCCUCUAUCAUCUUCUAUCCUUUGCCAUAUUGAGCAAGAUAUGGACUGGUUUGAAAACAAUCAUGUUUCUUGAUUUUUUUUUUUAAUUCAUCAUUGAUUUUUGAAUCUUGAUUCUUUAUGUUUCUGUUUUUGCAGCAAUGGUUUCUCUGACUAAAUCCAUUUGCUGGAAGGUUGUGGCAAAGACGGUUGACUCCUCGGGGAGAGGACUCGUGAUAUAUCAAAAGCCAACUUCAGAGUCUUGCUAUAACCACCUCUUUGUUCUAAAGAGGAAGUAAAUGCUUCAUGGUAUAAAAAAACUCGUAUCACAUUCACAUAAAACUAUAUUUGUAUGUACACUUCUAUCAUCUCCUUUUUUAAUAUUAAAUCUUAGGUAUGCUCCUCUCCGCCAAUGCAUCUCAAAGUUACCGAGUGGAGGUGUCCAGAAGUGGCCUGAGCUAUGGCAUAAACAGCUUGUGAGUGUAAAGCCUCAAAGUGUUUCGGCUGACACAAAAACAUCCAAGAAAAAUACAGAGAAAUGGUCAGAGAUUGUAUCUGAUGUCUAUCUUGAACGUUUAGCUGUAAACUGGUCUAGCGUGAGGAAUGUGAUGGACAUGAAUGCUGGUUUUGGCGGGUAACUUUUUACAUUUUUUUUUUUAAUUUCUAAGAACUCCUAAAAGGGAAACACCAUUGGACACACAAAAUAGUGUGGAGUCCUUAACUAUUCAAAAAAAAAAAAAAUACUAUAAUAAUCUUAAGGAUUCAAAGAGCAAGUCCACCAUUGUGGAUGCUCUUAGUUUUUUAAGGGUUUAGGAUAAUCAAUCUACUAUUGGUUUGUUUUGGUUUCAUCUGGUUUGUAAUGUUCGAUCGGUCUACUGAAACAAAUUUGAUUGGUCUCAAAAUUGUACAUAGAUUUCUCCUAGUCCUUAUAACCAAACGUUCUUGAACAACAUUUGUGUCUUCUCUUAGCUACUAAUCAUACUUACCUAAUUGUUAUUGUGUAACUGCAAAUCAUACCAAAAUUCUCUGAAGCAAUUCAUCUUGAGGAAAACACUGAAGUAAUGCACUCUUACUAUCAAAGACAGAGGUGUUUAGUUACCUUUGUAUAAUUUGACAUAGGUCUCUUAAAUCACCAUAGUACUCAACCAACAUACAUGUUGGCAGCUCAAGAUCAUAAUGUGAAGGCAGUUAGGGAGUGAUUCUGAAAGCAGGGUGAAUGGUUCUUCUUGUGUUGAGAGAAUCGAGUUUGUGAAUCCCCUCUACACACUCUCCCACUCUCUUUACAAGGAGAGGUAUAUUAGCAGCGUUGUUCCUCAAGCUGAAUCAGUCUCUGCCCACAGUCUUUCUCUUCAGUUCCCAACAACUCAAGAGGUAUCUCUGCUUCUUCUGCACUCUGAUAUCUUCUUGCACAUCUCCCUCACAUCUGACUCCAACUUCUCUACUUCUCCUUCCUCGUAGAGCUCAACUCCUGGAUCUACGGCCAUGGACUCUGUUCAAUUUUGAAAUCCGCCCUUGUGAGAUUUGUGUCGUCUUUUCAAAUGAGAGGAGCGCUAACAAAAACCACUUCCACUCUUGAGUGGUUAAUGAAACGGUAGAGAAAUAUAAGUAUUUUCACCAUAAUACGGCGCCGUUUUGACUGUUUUGCUUUUCUUCGUUAACGUUUAGCAAAUGAGAAGAAACUGGGAAUCAAUUCAAUAAUUCAUACAAUGGGGGUGAUUGGUUGGGUUGUAACAGUAGAAAAUUUACUUUAGCAUUUUGUCUGUAGGAUUUUUGAUUUAGCUUUAUGUGAUGUAGCUUUAAAAUUUCCUACGGCUAAAAAAAUAGAGCUUUAGAAAAUAAUAUAUUUACAGCCAUUUUUUGUGUGUUUUUGCUGUAACUUUAAUUUUUUGGUUGUAGAUUUAAAAACCAAGAUAAAGCAUGAUUGGUAGUAUUUAAGGUUGUAGAUGGAAAUUAAAGCUAAAGUCAGUUCUUACAGCCCAACCAAUCACCCCCAAUAUCCCCUUUUGUGAGUGCACUAACCUCUUCUUUUGCUUUCUAUUCAUUGUCUUAAAUGGACAUAACAUUUAUAUUGUUGUAUAUACUAAUCCAUUUUACAACAAGCUCACUUAUUUUUGGACACAACUGCAAACUUUGUUUCGACUCAACCCAACAACUGCUUCACUCGAGUUUGGUCUCUUGGGUGGUCCUUGGAAGCAAACCAAGAUCCGAAACAGCUUCACCUGCAAAGUCACAUUAACCCAACGUUACAAAGCAACCUUCAGGACAACACUCAAUUCCAGUAUGAGAAUAGCUAUACCAUGCAUUCUUUUGACGAAUCUCUCGAACUCUACAAAGUUCUGAGACUCCAGCAGAGUUGUGUUUAGCCUUAGGUAAGUGAAACACGAUAGGUGGCGACCAUCAGGGUCGUUAAGUGGCUUUGCGUUCUCAAGAAUCUUGUUGUAGCCUUCUCUGUCGUAACAAGGAAGAGCAUUCUCACUAGCUACAGGUAUAUUCGCAUCCCAAGCUGCAUUCAACACCUGCCAAACUAGACCUUCUGGGUCAGCCAGCGCCUCUGGAAAAUCCUCGUGCUGGUCAAGUGUUCGUAACUCCACGCAUGUGAAGUUGAGAGCAGCGUCAUGUUUCUUCAGCAUCGCUGCUAUUGGACCGUACCCAUCACGGUUUGACGGGUUGUAGAAUCCAGCAGUGAGCUCAGCAGCGUGACUAGCUGUUUUAUACCACCAGUGUAUACCUGAGAGCUAAAUGCAAAACAGACGAUUUUAUUCAGACAAGCCGGGGAAAAAAAACAUACUAUACUUGCUUUGUUUUUGUUUCACCUUGGCAGCGAUGGAGUUUCCUUCGAAGGCCAAGUUAGCCAUAGAAAGAACACGAUCACCAUGGUCAAUGAGAACUCUGGAGUACCAGUUAAGAAAGAAUCUGCCGUAGUAGCUGUCAUAGUCACCUCCAUCGCGAAAGAAACCAGUCCCGUGUGGGGUAGAGUUAUAAGACUCAGUGUUGUCAGGUCCUCUGCCCCAAAAGCUGUGCCCUCUUACCUCUGCUGCCUCCUUUAAGCUCUUCAUCAAAUACUUAUCAUAACACUGCUCACACCAGUAGAGAAGAUAUAAGUGAUCUGACAGGAUGUAGAUUUUUUGAAUUAAAAAAAGAGAGAGAGAGUACCUGGAAUUCACCAAUACCAGGAUACUUCCAGCCAUGUUGAGCAGGGUAAGAAGGAUACCUGAGCUCCCCACAUGGACCUAGUCCUACUUCUAUCUCUGUUAUGAUUUUCUCCUCAAAGAACUCAUCAAACUCCACUCUAAAGCUUCUCAUGUAAUCAAAGUAAACCUACACAAUAUUAACAAUGGAUUCCUCAAUCAUGACAUAGUGGUGCUUGCAUGUUAGGCGAUAGAGUAGAAACCCCAUACCUCGAGAGCAGUUCUUCCUCUUAAAACACGUUGCUUGUCAAUCCCCCAAGUGAGACACUCAGAGUUACGCAUGCCUGCCCUGUCAGUGAAGUAAAUGUCAGGAUUGGUUUCACCAAUCUCUCUUACCCACUGGGGGAGUUGUAUAUGCACAUCAUCUCCAACAUUGCCUCCACACUCGUGGAACGACAUAACAACCUGAACAAGUCAAGAAGAAACAGUUUAUCUACAUAUCAUCUCACUAAAAUACCUUAUAUGAGAAGAUGAGAUCACCUGAAGCUUAAGUCCAAGCUGGCGAAUCAUGUCAAAGAGUUUCUUGUAGCCGCUCCAGUUAUAGACCUGAGGGGUAUGAGACUCGACGAUGCCCCACCAGCAGUCAACCAUAACACCAUCAACAUUAACAGACUUGAGGGUUCUUAACUGAUCCAAGAGCUCUUCCGGUUCAACCACUUCCGAGUUCAUAUCAAUCAGUCCCAACUACAUCAUAUCAUUCAUUCAACACUUGACUCAACCAAACCAUCUCUAGAAAGCAAAAAUUAAAAAAAAACUUACUGGGAGCAUAACAUAGACGGGAACAGACGCUGUGCCGGCAAAAUCACGCUCAUAAAAAUGCACAAAUGGUUCAUCAUCAUCAUCAGCCUAGAAAUUGAAAAUGUAUGAAAAAUACAUCAGAAACAACUUACGAGCAGUGAACUCUAUAAUGAGACACUUACGAGCUGAUCUUCGAUAGGAGGAGCUCGAUCCUCAACACUCUCUCCUAAAACCAAAGGCCUAGCACCAGAAAGUGUAGAGGCGCCACGCCAUUCUCCAACGCGCGAUCUCCGAGCAGAUACUCUCGCCGGAGCUCCGAGCUUCUUCACGCUCACUGGACAUACAACAGUAUGAAUCGAACUAAUCGCCAUCACUACGAAAAAAUCUUCUCACUUGUGUGUGUAUCCUAAAUUCAGAUUUUAUGAGAAGACAUGGGGACAAUCAAAACCCACGUGAAAGUGUCAAUGCUUUUUCACGGAUCCAAGAACCCAUUCGAUCAAAUCAAUUUUUUUGAAAAUGAAAAAACAAAACAAAACAAAAGAGUUUAGUCCGGAUUCACUCAGAUCCGUCCGUUUGAGAGUUUUUGUCUUUUAAUCACACACACACGUGGCGCUAUGUCGGUCAAAUUUCCUACGUCGGACAACUCCCGCGCGGGUCAAGUUUAUCAAUGGGCUUUUAAGAAUGAAACUUCUAUUGAGCCCAUUUAUCUAUUGGGUCCAUUAAGUCUAUCUCUCUCUCAGCUCACUGUGUUAAAAAGGCCCUAAUACGCUCGUAAAUAUCUUUUGUUUUUUGAGUUUUUAUUUACUCCAUGUAAUAAUAUUAUGGACAAAUCUGUACUGUUUUAAAUUGUUUGACUGUACUUGCACGAGUGUAUAUGAUUUUUUUUUGACUCAACCAAACCGAUCUCUAGAAAGCAAAAAUUAAAAAAAAACUUACUGGGAGCAUAACAUAGACGGGAACAGACGCUGUGCCGGCAAAAUCACGCUCAUAAAAAUGCACAAAUGGUUCAUCAUCAUCAUCAGCCUAGAAAUUGAAAAUGUAUGAAAAAUACAUCAGAAACAACUUACGAGCAGUGAACUCUAUAAUGAGACACUUACGAGCUGAUCUUCGAUAGGAGGAGCUCGAUCCUCAACACUCUCUCCUAAAACCAAAGGCCUAGCACCAGAAAGUGUAGAGGCGCCACGCCAUUCUCCAACGCGCCAUCUCCGAGCAGAUACUCUCGCCGGAGCUCCGAGCUUCUUCACGCUCACUGGACAUACAACAGUAUGAAUCGAACUAAUCGCCAUCACUACGAAAAAAUCUUCUCACUUGUGUGUGUAUCCUAAAUUCAGAUUUUAUGAGAAGACAUGGGGACAAUCAAAACCCACGCGAAAGUGUCAAUGCUUUUUCACGGAUCCAAGAACCCAUUCGAUCAAAUCAAUUUUUUUGAAAAUGAAAAAACAAAACAAAACAAAAGAGUUUAGUCCGGAUUCACUCAGAUCCGUCCGUUUGAGAGUUUUUGUCUUUUAAUCACACACACACGUGGCGCUAUGUCGGUCAAAUUUCCUACGUCGGACAACUCCCGCGCGGGUCAAGUUUAUCAAUGGGCUNNNNNNNNNNNNNNNNNNNNNNNNNNNNNNNNNNNNNNNNNNNNNNNNNNNNNNNNNNNNNNNNNNNNNNNNNNNNNNNNNNNNNNNNNNNNNNNNNNNNUCGGGUUGAGUAAAACAUAAACCAAUUGGGUUACAUAAAGAGCACGGUCUGGUUUGGUUCGGUUUAACUUCGGUUUGGUUGGUUCGGUUCGGUUCGGUUUGAGUUUUUUGCCCAUCCCUAUGGGUAAGAAUGUAAACAAGACAACACGGAAACACGUGUCAAUGAUCUGACGGUGAGUUAGUCAAUGUCCUUUCCCCUCUCUUCUCUAAUAUGCGAGGAAAAUAAUGCAGAACCGUGUUUCCGUUUAUACCCUUGUUGCCCAAAUCUUUAUUCGGGCAACUUUAAAUUUUAAUUUCCCUAUCUUGCUUUUUUGACUUUACACUAAUAUCUUUUUUAAUGUUCCUUUUAGAGAAAUUAAAAUAGGGACAUAAAAGUAAACAAAAGAAAUAAAUGCGUAAUUAAUUUUGGCUGACCCCCUCUAGCUCUUACUAAUCCUCGGGCAGGCAGGUCUCAGACAUCUUCCCUCUUCAUCAGACAGCUUCCUCUUAUAUUCUGUUCCUCACUGGAAGAGGAAGAAGAAGUAAAGAGAUCAAAGCUCCAACCUUGUGUUGUGUAUAAAAGUUUUGACUAAUUUUGACGGUUUAACUUGUCAUAUCAUCGAAUUCCGGUUAGCAAAUUCGGUACGUGUGUGGUUUUGAGUUGAUCGGAUCUCGAGAGUGAGAUGAUGUGGAGGAACAUUGCUGGCUUCUCCAAGGCUGCUGCUGCGGCGGCAAGAACCCACGGAUCUCGGCGGUACUUGUCUUCGGCG